rnacentral:ncRNA from 1 species
AUUCUUCGGGGCGGGGUGAGAUUCCCCACCGGCGGUGUUUUCCUGAGGUGAUCUUACAUUUACCCGGGGAUGAGCCCGCAAGCUUUAUGCACGAUCCGGUGUGAUUCCGGAGCCGACGGUCAUAGUCCGGAUGAGAGAAGAG